rnacentral:rRNA from 1 species
AUACGGAGGGUGCAAGCGUUAAUCGGAUUUACUGGGCGUAAAGCGUGCGUAGGCGGCUUGUUAAGUCAGAUGUGAAAGCCCCGGGCUCAACCUGGGAACUGCAUUUGAUACUGACAGGCUAGAGUAUGGUAGAGGGAAGUGGAAUUCCGCAUGUAGCGGUGAAAUGCGUAGAUAUGCGGAGGAACACCAGUGGCGAAGGCGACUUCCUGGACCAAUACUGACGCUGAGGUACGAAAGCGUGGGGAGCAAACAGGAUUAGAAACCCCAGUAGUCC